rnacentral:rRNA from 1 species
ACGCUGGCGGCAGGCCUAACACAUGCAAGUCGAGCGGAUGAAGGGAGCUUGCUCCCUGAUUCAGCGGCGGACGGGUGAGUAAUGCCUAGGAAUCUGCCUGGUAGUGGGGGACAACGUCUCGAAAGGGACGCUAAUACCGCAUACGUCCUACGGGAGAAAGUGGGGGAUCUUCGGACCUCACGCUAUCAGAUGAGCCUAGGUCGGAUUAGCUAGUUGGUGAGGUAAUGGCUCACCAAGGCGACGAUCCGUAACUGGUCUGAGAGGAUGAUCAGUCACACUGGAACUGAGACACGGUCCAGACUCCUACGGGAGGCAGCAGUGGGGAAUAUUGGACAAUGGGCGAAAGCCUGAUCCAGCCAUGCCGCGUGUGUGAAGAAGGUCUUCGGAUUGUAAAGCACUUUAAGUUGGGAGGAAGGGCAUUAACCUAAUACGUUAGUGUUUUGACGUUACCGACAGAAUAAGCACCGGCUAACUCUGUGCCAGCAGCCGCGGUAAUACAGAGGGUGCAAGCGUUAAUCGGAAUUACUGGGCGUAAAGCGCGCGUAGGUGGUUUGUUAAGUUGGAUGUGAAAUCCCCGGGCUCAACCUGGGAACUGCAUCCAAAACUGGCAAGCUAGAGUAGGGCAGAGGGUGGUGGAAUUUCCUGUGUAGCGGUGAAAUGCGUAGAUAUAGGAAGGAACACCAGUGGCGAAGGCGACCACCUGGGCUCAUACUGACACUGAGGUGCGAAAGCGUGGGGAGCAAAC